AUUGAACGCUGGCGGCAGGCCUAACACAUGCAAGUCGGACGGUAGCACGGAGAGCUUGCUCUCGGGUGACGAGUGGCGGACGGGUGAGUAAUGUCUGGGGAUCUGCCCGAUAGAGGGGGAUAACCACUGGAAACGGUGGCUAAUACCGCAUAACGUCGCAAGACCAAAGAGGGGGACCUUCGGGCCUCUCACUAUCGGAUGAACCCAGAUGGGAUUAGCUAGUAGGCGGGGUAACGGCCCACCUAGGCGACGAUCCCUAGCUGGUCUGAGAGGAUGACCAGCCACACUGGAACUGAGACACGGUCCAGACUCCUACGGGAGGCAGCAGUGGGGAAUAUUGCACAAUGGGCGCAAGCCUGAUGCAGCCAUGCCGCGUGUAUGAAGAAGGCCUUCGGGUUGUAAAGUACUUUCAGCGGGGAGGAAGGCGAUGUGGUUAAUAGCUUCAUCGAUUGACGUUACCCGCAGAAGAAGCACCGGCUAACUCCGUGCCAGCAGCCGCCGUAA
rnacentral:rRNA from 1 species